UUCCGUUAGCAGCUGGAGAGGAAGAGGGUUGGCCGAGAGGGUCUCCUGGGGCGGAGCGGAGGAGGAGGGAAUGCAAAACAGAGCCUCGCCCCAGGAACCCACUCGCAGCAACGCCCCACCCUAUAAACUCCGAGCUGCCUCUUCGCGGAUGAUUCCAGCUCCUGUCAGCCAGGGCCCGAUCAUUGGAGACAGGGUGCCUGAGCAGGCGCGCGGCUAGCGGUUCCACCCGGUCCGCGGCGGCGAUCGGUGCGGAGCAGCCCGACGGACCCCGGAGUAGGGCUCACAGCCCGGACGCCAAGGCGGCGCGCGAAUAACCGCACCAGAGCGGCCAGCUCUCGACCCGACGUGCGCGCAGCGGCCCAGGCACCGAUCUGGUAUAUCAUAAAUUGCUGUAAAAUGGCUGGGCCUUUAUCUGAGUAAGUCACUGAAGCCAUCACAGAAGCUCUGUGCCCAGGCAAAGAAGAAGAAGAGGCUGAGUAAUUCUUCCGAAAUCAAAUAGCACAAAAGAUAUAGGCUCAAAAGUAAAAACCAGAGGCUUCUUCUUCAAGCGAUCCAGGAUGGAGUAACAGGGAUUACCUUCUCACCUAAAAUAACAACUAAAAAUUAGAGAGAGAGAGAGAGAGAGAGAGAGAGAGAGAACGAGAACAUAGGAAAAUCUGAAACAAUGGUUUUCAGGACAGUAGAUAUCAGACAACAAAGGGCAGUGAUCUCUGAGGGAUGGGAAACAAAGGAAGGUGAGCCCUGUGAUUGCCCCAGCUCACUGCCCAGAGGGAGUUUCCAGCAUAGCACAGGGAAGGAGAAUCCUGGAGGAGCUCCAAUAUCUCCCUGGGUUGAGAAGAUGGAGUUGGAAGUCCAGAGAGGCAAGGAGCUAGAGUCCACAGGGCAGAGUACCAGAGAAUAGAGAACUUUACAGAGGAAGAGCCCAGAGAUCUGCAAAGGGGCCUUUGUGUUUCAGUGCUUGUGUGUGAGUAAUCACCCAAAAGGAUUAGAAGGAACAAUCCCCAGAGAUCAUCCAGAGCCAGAAAAUAGUUCCUGUUCCCACAGGCUGGAGUGCAAAAACCUCAUAAUUCAUGGGACAUCAGAUAGCAUACUCAGAAGGGUUUUGUCUCAGGAGUGGGAAAAUAUCAGCCGUAGACUAAGUUCUGCUCUGGUUUUACCUAACAAAGCCCAAAAGCCAAAUAUAAAGGGAUUAAACUAUUUGCAAGUAAUUGCUUCCCAGAGCAAAAGCUGGAAAAUUUUUAUAGGAAUACAAAAACAUCCAAUACCAAACAAGGCAAAAUUCACAGUGUUUAGCAUCCAUUCAAAAAUCACCAGGCAUGUGCCCUAGCUAUAUAGCUCAAUUGGUUAGAGCGUCAUCCAAUAUACCAAGGUUGCAGGUUCAAUCCCUGGUCAGAGCACAUAUAAGGAUCCACCAAUGAAUGCAUAAAUAAGUGGAAUAACAAAUAUCUUUCUCUUAUCUUCCCUCCCUCUCUCUCCUUUCCUAUAACUCUCUAAAGAUCAAUUUUUUUAAAAAAAUUUACCAGGCAUGCAAAAAGCCAGGAAAAUGCAAUCCAUAAAGAGAAGAAAAAAAGCAAUCAAUGGAAAAAGACCUAGUAAUGACACAGGUGAUAGAAUUAGUACACAAGGACAUUAAUGGUAAUUAUAACUGAAUUCCAUAUGUUUAAGAAGCUAGAGGAAAGAAAGUCUGAACAUGUUAAGUAGAGACAUGGAAUACAUAGAAAACACUGAAAUUGAAUGUCUGAGAUGAAAACUCCAAUCAGGACUUCAGAUGUCAAGACCAUGUUCCUUCCACUGCCUCCACAAUAUUCUUCCCUGGAUCCCGAGUUUGAUCUUAGCAGCCCAAUACGUAAUACCUGCUUAAUACUAAAAGUCCUAGGUGAAUGCUCCCCUUAAGAGAGCGGGAGGAUGUUACCAGUUAAAGACAACAAAGUUCCCCAAGCCAUCAUGUGUGCCCUUUCCACAUCACUUUGAUCCAUUCCCACAGCCUGUCUCUGGUUCAUGGAGCAGGUUCCACCACUUUCCAUGGACUGACAUGGAAAGGAGCUGCUAGAAGUUCUCAACAUGGCACUGUCUGAGUUACAAGAAUGUGGAUGGUACCAAAUCCUAUAUAUACUGUGUCUUUUCCUAUACUUAAAUACCUAUGAUGAAUUUUGGUUUAUAGGCACAGUAAGAGAUUAACAAUAAAACUAAUAAUAAAAUAGAACAAUUAUAGCAGUUAUGUGAAUGUGUUGUCUCUUUCAAAAUAUAUUGUCUUAUUCUCACUCUUCUUGUGAUGGUAUGAAACCACAAAAUGCCUAUAUGAUGAGAUGGGGUGAGGUGAAUGACAUAGGCACUGAUGUAGUGUUGGGCUAUUGUUGACUUUCUAACAAUACAUCAGAAGCAGGAUCAUCAAGCCAUGACAAUGUCAAUGGUUGAUUGUCAGGAGCAGGUAAGGUUGAUGGUUGAAGAAAUUUAAUAUUUUUGGACCACACUUGACAUGGGUAACUAAAACCACAGAAAGUGAAAUCAUGGAUAAGAAGAAACUACUGUGAUUUGAAA